UGAAGUCUCGGAGCCGGGUGUUGGUUCCGGUAGCGAUCGAGGGAAGUUAGUACCGAAGUCCGGGAUGGAAGAUGGCGAGAAAAGCUGUGUGUAUUUCUGCGGUGCCCGUACCGCAAACCGACACAGGUAGGUAGGAAGAAGAUUCUAAGGCCAACGGGAGAAGGGUUGUUAAGGAACUCGGCAAAUUGACCCCGUAACUUCGGGAGAAGGGGUGCUCCAGAGAUGGAGCCGCAGAGAAUCGGCCCAAGCAACUGUUUACCAAAAACACAGGUUUGUGCUAAAUCGAAAGAUGACGUAUACGAGCUGACGCCUGCCCGGUGCUGGAAGGUUAAGAGGAGAUGUGCAAGCAUUGAAUCGAAGCCACAGUGAACGGCGGCCGUAACUAUAACGGUCCUAAGGUAGCGAAAUUCCUUGUCAGGUAAGUUCUGACCCGCAUGAAAGGCGUAAUGAUUUGGGCACUGUCUCGACAGCCCGCCCGGCGAAAUUGUAGUACCGGUGAAGAUGCCGGUUACCCGCGACAAGACGGAAAGACCCCAUGGAGCUUUACUGUAGCCUAAUAUUGGGUUUCGAUGUUGCAUGCACAGGAUAGAUGGGACACAGGGAAACAAGUGCUUUGGCAUUUGUGGAGUGGCCGUUGGGAUACCAUCCUUGCGAUAUUGGAAUUCUAACCUGCGCCUUUGAAUCAAGGCGGGGGACAUUGUUAGGUGGGCAGUUUGACUGGGGCGGUCGCCUCCUAAAGAGUAACGGAGGCGUUCAAAGGUUCGCUCAGCUUGAACGGAAAUCAAGCAAAAGAGUGCAAACGCAGAAGCGAGCCUAACUGCGAGACUGACGGGUCGAGCAGUAACGAAAGUUGGAGUUAGUGAUCCGGUGGUAUGUGAGUGGAAAUGCCAUCGCUCAACGGAUAAAAGUUACCCUGGAGAUAACAGGCUGAUCUCCCCCAAGAGUCCACAUCGACGGGGAGGUUUGGCACCUCGAUGUCGGCUCAUCGCAUCCUGGGGCUGUAUUCGGUCCCAAGGGUUUGGCUGUUCGCCAAUUAAAGCGGUACGCGAGCUGGGUUCAGAACGUCGUGAGACAGUUCGGUCCCUAUCUGUCGUGGGCGCAGGAUAUUUGAUGGGAGCUGUUCCUAGUACGAGAGGACCGGAGCGGACGUACCUCUGGCGCACCAGUUGUUCUGCCAAGGGCAUAGCUGGGCAACUAUGUACGGAUCGGAUAAACGCUGAAAGCAUCUAAGCGUGAAGCCGACCCAAAGAUAAGAUAUCCCAUUGUUUCAAACAAGUAAGACCCCUUGAAGACUACAAGGUUGAUAGGCAUGAUGUGUAAGUGGAGUGAUCCAUUCAGCAAGCAUGUACUAAUAG
rnacentral:rRNA from 1 species